UCAACCAAGAAUAUAGAGAAAGAGCUUCUGCCCUGAGACUCAGAAAAAUAUUCUCCACUGCUUCCGUUCAGUAUAGAUUUCUAGACCCCGAUCCUUGCUUAGCAGAUUUUCAGAGGGCUGGGCAAUUGCAUCUCGGUGCCGGAAUUAUCCGAAAAUAUAGGCAAUUUUAAAACGUUAUGUGUGGCAUCAAAAGGAGCACUUGCUCGCAGACGACCGAGGGAAGGGCGCUUUCAGCUCCUUCUGCGGUAGCCCGAUCUCUGUCGCGCAUUAGCUGCCGUGGAAAAUGACCAGAAAUCUACUAUCUGAGAAAACCCAUCCAUCAUCUUCAGGCAAUCUUCCAAUCUGUUAACUUUAGCUGCUACUAAUAAGCGUCUCAGUCCAGGAAAAGCAAUUAUUACGAUGUUUCACAGAACAGCUUCCAGAUAACAUAUGAUGUAAACUGCUCUUGGGCAAUAUUUCUUCUAAGGAAACUAGUUUUUCUUUUUUUUUUUUWCUUCAGUAAGCAACUUUACUAGUGCAAGUGYGAUUAAAACUGAGGUAAAGAGGAAGAGCUGUUGGAAAUGGGGUUUGACCGUAGCUACUGUGCCCARUUACACCUCCGAAAGCUUUGAAUCACAAUGCUUUAUAAAGCCCUUUCUAUGGGCUUGAUCAGAGUGCAGACCUYGUCAGUGAGGUUGAGACAUCUUACAUGUGACUGAGAUAUGGUCACUAAUGUGUUACAUCACACAGAGCCAAACCAGGCAACCUGGUUUGACUGCAGCUUCCCAUCCAGAGAGAGGUAUCUCAUUUACUAUCUAACAUACGUAACCAGCAAUGCAAAACAAGCCAAACUYUGUGUGCUGCCGUCUCUGUUUUGAUCCUUGCUAUUUUGAGGCCCUUGAUAAAAAUGCAGCAUCCAAGCAGGCAGCCUGCAGUCAGUACCUUGCUCAGUGUGCUUGCACGUGGAGUCAUUUGCGUUUCUCUCAGUCCUCAGUCUCCACAGCACAUGGGAAGGCUGCUGUGGCAGGGGAGAUGCCCCUGGGAGGCCCUGCCAUGAGGGUGGUGUUCAUUGGCUUGCAGAGAUGGAGGCCUCUCCAAGAUAAUCAUGGACCAUUAUUAGGUGGCUUAGUGGAUAUUCUGCUAGACGAUGAACUCACCUGAGCUCCCAGUGCAGWGAACUUCCUAUUAGAAAAGGGCAGACCAAAGCAGGAGAGGCGCAAAAGAAGAGUAUGUGAUUUAUCUGUGACUAUCUUSACUGUAGCCUGAUUUCUGUAAUGAGGGACCUCUGUCAAGGGAUUGAGGAAGAAAAUUUGAAACUCCCCUAUGACAAAAAAAAAAUUGGCAAAGCUGUGCUUUCAGAUCCUACAGCCAAUACACCUAGGAUCAGUCAGAUAAUAAUGUGGUGGCAUCUCAYCAAGCCUCUCUGAUUAUUUUUGGGGGCUGGUUAAUAUCACACAUCUUUUUAGAAUGUUCCUGGCUGUUCUUCACGUGUCCUUGUAAGCAGAUGUUACCUCGUGACUGACUUUCAGUGUGCCCUUGCWAGGCUCCUUGAGCUUGAAGACUGUUGAUAGCAAACAUUCACAUGAUUCCAGACAUCCAUCUACCUCAUCAGACUGAUUGACUUGCAUUUUCAAUUUCACUUCUCUAGUGUAUUAUAGAUGCUCUUGGUGUGUUUAGAUUUCUGGGUACAGACUUGUUUUCUGAUCCUUGAAGAAUUACAUAAUAAAAGGAAAGCAUUCUAUAGAUUCCUUCUGAAAAAUUCAGAUUAAUGCGCUAGAUCUUCCUGUGUAAUAUAUAAUCCAAACCCAGAUACCAAUUUACUUUCUGAGAAAAAGUUUGGUCUUGAUUAUCAUCAUUAAGUUGUUUGCCUUUAAUUGCUGAAGACUGAUAGAUGCCAGCAAACAAUUUGGUUUUGAUGUCUGACAAGAGGGUAAGAUACAUUGCUGGAAGGUCAACAGUCAGUGUUUAGGAGUUCUUGGCCCCUUGUACAUCCUGCCAAUAAGUACCUGGAAAGUCUGAUUUUGCCAUAAGGCAUGCAAGUUGAUCAGAGCUUGGUUGUAGGAAAGUCUACAUUCUUCAUGCAAUUCAYAGGUGGUUUAAAAUAUUCACCAACUUAGUUAAGUGCCCUUUGUUCUCCUGCCCAGUAAUUCUACUAGAGAGAUGGAAAGUGUAAAAAUUACUUUCCCUGUGAUAGGGCAUAUUGAGACCUUCUGCUUUGUCAAUUAUUUUUUUUUUUUUGUUGGUUCUUUUUUGCUUCAUGUGAACAGUUUUUGGGCAUCAAUAGUGCAACAUAUUAAAAUGUGAUCAUGAGAUUGUGAGAAGGAAACAUCUAAUAGUACCUGCUGGAUUCCUGACAGCAUUGUGCUGUCUGUAAUGAUGAGAAAGGUAAAAUAAAAAUGACAUUUCCAGUUUGGCUGAUGCUCUGUAGCAUUAACAGGGAGUCCAACAGUCAGACAAUUUCAAGGACAGAAAUUCUUACAGGCCUAGUGAACUAAAAAAGUGCUACUUCUUUCUGUAUACUAUAGAAGAUUCUUUUAAAUAAAUAUGUAAAUUAAGAUAUAAAAUUUAAAGUAAUUCUUUGCUGCCGGUUUGAAACCAGAAAUCACUUUUUUUCCUAGAGACAUCCGUUUUCACUGAGAGUGACUCUGGUCUUUCUGAUAUUAYUCUGUUAUGUUAGUUCUCAGUAAUGUGCUCAGUCUCUACUGUACAAAUCAUGAAUGAAUAUAUUUUUUUAUCCAGAUAUUAAUUUUCUUGUAUAAGACAGUCUURUUCCCUAAAUCUUUUCAGACCUAUCACCCAUUUUAUGUGCACAACAGGUUUUUGAUGGCUCUGUAUUUCUUCCUAAUGCAAAAAUUCAAGAUGAAAUAAAAAUGAAUUUGAAUGUCUAAGUAUUUGAAUAUUACUCUGGUCUAGAUGCCACUGAGGCACAAAUGUAACAGUACACUUUUACAAAGAAGCACCAGAUGCAGAAUGCAACAUUCCAGGUGCACCAGAUUGUAUUCAGAUUCAUACAUGCCUUUUGUCUGAGUAAUUUACUCUUCUGAGAGUCAAGGGAAAUUCGGUGACAUUUUUUCAGUUUUGUACUUUGCAACUUAUUGAGGUCCCCAAAUUCAUAUUUCUUUACACUCUUCCUUUGUACUCACUGUGUUUCUGUGAAUGAAAAUACAUUUGAAAUCUACAUUGCUUUUGGGGCUUUGUUUAAACAGAAUUAGCAGCCAUAGAAGGAUCUCACCAAAGGUUUCCAUGACUUCCAGUUACAUCAUUAAUGAGGACCUUUUGAACGUUUUGGUCUUCUGUCUUCCAUAUGAAGWAAAAUAAUGAUCCUGCAUUUGAAAAACAUUUUGAAGUUGCCAGGGAUGUAGACAUACCACUUUACAAAGUGCAAAAAAUAAAAUGCCAUUUAACAGAACGACCAUGCUUUAUUAUAUUUACAACAAUGGAACRGGAAUAUAACAUUUUUAUUUAAAAAUCAGGCCACAGAUUAAGUUUUGAUUGCAGUAUUUUGUACUGAAAAUAAGAAUAAGAAAGCAAUUAAGUAUUCAUAGUUGUGCUCUCACACAAACACCUUCCAUGGUGAGCCUGUUUAUGCAACUGAGUAUGCCAUACAAUUGCUUUUAUUACCUUCUUAUAAAACAGCCUGUAUAAAACACUUUUUUUUGAUUGUUUCUUUGUGUAUUGUUGAGCAUGUUUGCAUUCUAAAGGGCUUUGCCUCAUU